UGGGUUAAAUACGUUUUAGCCAAGUUUGCCAAUGGCUUUCGUAUUUGGCGUCCGACAUUCGUGGCGCUCUGUCUGCCGUCGUUUAGCCAAAAAAUGCGCAACUAA
rnacentral:sRNA from 1 species